UCAACGGAGAGUUUGAUCCUGGCUCAGGACGAACGCUGGCGGCGUGCUUAACACAUGCAAGUCGAGCGGUAAGGCCCUUCGGGGUACACGAGCGGCGAACGGGUGAGUA
rnacentral:rRNA from 1 species